AGAGAAAGGAUUACUGAUUUGUGUCUCAGUCAGUUCAUUGAACUAACCAACAUCACAGCCUGGGAAGGUCACUAUGGUAGUUGUUUAUUUUUUUGUUGUUUUGAAACUAACAAAAUACAGAGUAUGGAUGUAAACUGGCAGCGGAGGUGAGUGUGAAAUGUAGCAGAAGACAUCGGUGCUCACCAGCUGGAGCGUCUGGUGGAGCUGCUGACCCUGCGGGAGUGCGAGGACCUCCUCUCAACCCUCCCCUCCACAGAGGUGAAUGUUUUCCAGCGGAUCGAGGGACUCAGUUUGGAAAACAACAACCUGCUUCCACAAGGAGAAGACGAGGAGGACCUGAUGCUGCGCAGACGGAGGGACACAGGGGCAAUAUGAGAUCUUCCAGACUGAGCAGAGGACGUCUGGAUGAUGCCACAGUGCCAUCAUGUGGUGGAAGGUCAUUGAGCAGAUCUGCCGGAUGCUUGGGAAGGAAAGGAUAUUCAUGUUCUUCUUUCCAGAGUGGGACCAUAUAAAUUAUAUUUCUGGGACAUUGCAAAGAUUGGUCCUAAGAUGGAACUAGAAAGUGAGCACUGGCGAUAUAACACCAAACAAGGAUGCAAAGCAGCUGUCAUCGAUUCCUUUGCCAUGACAGCAAUUUGGGAUAGAAAACUAUCCAGACUGCAAAUGGAUCCAAUGAAGUAUGACGUCAUUGUGGGGGUUAUCAACAAGAACCAUCACUGGAUUCUGACAGUUCUGUAUCCACAUGAGAAGAGAUGCCUGUUUUUGGAUCCUUUGGGAGAAACAGCAACUAAUCAGAAAAGAUGCGAGGAGACAACAAGGUAA
rnacentral:lncRNA from 1 species